rnacentral:rRNA from 1 species
ACUCAAAGGAAUAGACGGGGGCCCGCACAAGCGGUGGAGCAUGUGGUUCAAUUCGACGCAACGCGAAGAACCUUACCUGGGCUCGAACGGCCGCGGAAGAGGGUGGAAACAUUCUGGUCUCGCAAGAGACCGCGGUCGAGGUGCUGCAUGGCUGUCGUCAGCUCGUGUCGUGAGAUGUUGGGUUAAGUCCCGCAACGAGCGCAACCCUUGUCCUUAGUUGCUAACGAGAAAGACGAGCACUUUAGGGAGACUGCCGGCGAUAAGCCGGAGGAAGGUGGGGACGACGUCAAGUCAUCAUGGCCUUUAUGUCCAGGGCUACACACGUGCUACAAUGGGCGGUACAACGCGCCGCGAACCCGCGAGGGGGAGCCAAUCGCUGAAAACCGUCCCCAGUUCGGAUUGCAGUCUGCAACUCGACUGCAUGAAGCUGGAAUCGCUAGUAAUGGCGCAUCAGCACGGCGCCGUGAAUACGUUCCCGGGCCUUGCACACACCGCCCGU